GUAGGGUGCGAGCGUUAAUCGGAGUUACUGGGCGUAAAGGGUGCGCAGGCGGUUGAGUGUGAGUGAUGUGAAAUCCCCGGGCUUAACCUGGGAAUUGCAUUUGUGACUGCUUAGCUGGAGUAUAUGAGAGGGUGAUGGAAUUUCCCGUGUAGCGGUGAAAUGCGUAGAUAUGCGAAGGAACGUCGAUGGCGAAGGCAGUCCCCUGGGAUUGUACUGACGCUCAUGCGCGAAAGCGUGGGGAGCGAACAGGAUUAGAUACCCUGGUAGUCCACGCUGUAAACGAUGACUACUGGAUGUUGGUAAGGUAACUUCUCAGUAUCGUAGCUAACGCGAGAAGUUCACCGCCUGGGAAGUACGGCCGCAAGGUUG
rnacentral:rRNA from 1 species